AGCUCCAAUAGCGUAUAUUAAAGUUGUUGCAGUUAAAAAGCUCGUAGUUGAAUUUCUGUGGCGUCGCGUCGUGGUCUGCCGGGAUGGUAUGUACUGCGUGCGCGUCACUUUUUUUCGCAUGUCACCUGGCUGGCCUUCAUUGGUCGGACGGGAGUACUGACUGCGGAUGGUUUACUUUGAGAAAAUUAGAGUGUUUAAAGCAGGCUACUUGAUGCCUUGAAUACUACAGCAUGGAAUAAUGAAAUAGGACUUUGCGCUUAUUUUGUUGGUUUCUAAGCGUCAGAGUAAUGAUUAAUAGAGAUAGUUGGGGGUAUUCAUAUUUUAUUGUCAGAGGUGAAAUUCUUGGAUUUAUGAAAGAUGAACUUUUGCGAAAGCAUUUAUCAAGGAUGUUUUCAUUAAU
rnacentral:rRNA from 1 species